GACGAACGCUGGCGGCGUGCUUAACACAUGCAAGUCGAACGGAAAGGCCCUGCUUGCGGGGUGCUCGAGUGGCGAACGGGGGAGUAACACGCGGGUGUACCGCCCUGCACUUCGGGAUAAGCCUGGGGAACUGGGGCGAAAACCGGGGAGAGGCGAUCCUGAGGGAGGGGGGGGGAAAGAUUGUUCGGUGUAGGAUGGGUGCACGGCCUGUCAGCUUGUUGGUGGGGUGAUGGCCUACCUAGGCGGCGGCGGGUGGGCGGCCGGGGAGGGUGGACGGCCACCUUGGGACUGAGGUUCGGGCCAGGCUCCUACGGGGGGGAGCCGUGGGGAAUAUUGCCCCAUGGGCGCAAGCCUGAUGCAGCGACGCCGCGUGGGGGAUGACGGGCUUUGGGUUGGAAACUCGUUUCGCUAGGGACGAAGCCUUUUGUGACGGUACCUAGUAAAGAAGCACCGGCUAACUACGUG
rnacentral:rRNA from 1 species